AGAGUUUGAUCCUGGCUCAGAUUGAACGCUGGCGGAAUGCUUUACACAUGCAAGUCGAACGGCAGCAUAGGUGCUUGCACCUGAUGGCGAGUGGCGAACGGGUGAGUAAUACAUCGGAACGUGCCCAGUCGUGGGGGAUAACGUAGCGAAAGUUACGCUAAUACCGCAUACGAUCUACGGAUGAAAGCGGGGGACCGUAAGGCCUCGCGCGAUUGGAGCGGCCGAUGUUAGAUUAGGUAGUUGGUGGGGUAAAGGCUCACCAAGCCGACGAUCUAUAGCUGGUCUGAGAGGAUGAUCAGCCACACUGGGACUGAGACACGGCCCAGACUCCUACGGGAGGCAGCAGUGGGGAAUAUUGCACAAUGGGCGCAAGCCUGAUGCAGCAACGCCGCGUGAGGGAUGACGGCCUUCGGGUUGUAAACCUCUUUUAGUUGGGAAGAAGCGAAAGUGACGGUACCAACAGAAAAAGCACCGGCUAACUACGUACGAGCAGCCGCGGUAAU
rnacentral:rRNA from 1 species